rnacentral:rRNA from 1 species
CCUACGGGAGGCAGCAGUGAGGAAUAUUGGUCAAUGGUCGGGAGACUGAACCAGCCAAGCCGCGUGAGGGAUGAAGGUACAGAGUAUCGUAAACCUCUUUUGUCAGGGAACAAAGGCGGGGACGCGUCCCCGGAUGAGUGUACCUGAAGAAAAAGCAUCGGCUAACUCCGUGCCAGCAGCCGCGGUAAUACGGAGGAUGCGAGCGUUAUCCGGAUUGAUUGGGUUUAAAGGGUGCGCAGGCGGUCUGUUAAGUCAGCGGUCAAAGCCCGGGGCCAAACCCCGGCCCGCCGUUGAGACUGGCAGUCUCGAGUUGGAGAGAGGUAUGCGGAAUGCGCGGUGUAGCGGUGAAAUGCAUAGAUAUCGCGCAGAACUCCGAUUGCGAAGGCAGCAUGCCGGCUCCACACUGACGCUGAGGCACGAAAGCGUGGGUAUCGAACAGGAUUAGAUACCCGUGUAGUC